GGGAGCAGGACCCUGGAGGUCUGGACCAUUAUAUUUAAGAAGGGGGGAGCAUGACCCUGGAGGUCUGGACCAUUAUAUUUAAGGAGAAGGGGGGAGCAGGACCCUGGAGGUCUGGACCAUUAUAUAGGGGGGAACAGGACACUGGAGGUCUGGACCAUUAUAUAUGGGGAGUAGGGGGAAGCAGGAACCUGAAGGUCUGGACCAUUAUAUAGGCAGGAGGGGGGAGCAGGACACUUGAUGUCUGGACCAUUAUAUCUGGGGACUGACGGUGGGAGAUUUAGGAUGGGUGUGGGGGUAGGAAGUCUAGGAGGGGUGUGGGGAUGUUGGGUUGGGAGGUCCUGGAGGGGUGUGUGGGUGGGAGCUCUGGAAGGGUUGGGAGGUCUGAGAGGUAUGUGGGGUGGGAGAUCCGGGAGGGGGGCCCAUA